rnacentral:tRNA from 1 species
CAAGACGUAGCCUUAAACAAAGCACUCAGCUUACACCUGAGAGAUAUCUGCUCACACCAGAUCGUCUUGA